ACUUUAAAUUUUGAAUUGAGCGAUCCGCAGUAACAGUAGACUCGACGAAUUCCUCUCGGUGGUUCUCCUCCGGUGAUACCACCGAAGAGAGGAAGAUGAUCUGUACUGUGACUUAUGGAGUUUUUCCAUGUCUAUGAUUGAAGCAAACCCUGAUUUGAAGUGGACUCUGGUUGGAUGGUUGAUUCAUCAGUAGCUAUUGAGAAUCAUCUAUUAAGUUAGUACUAGAAAGUAGAAACAUCAACAAGAAGCUGCUUCUUUGGUGAUACUAUGUGUUAAUUCCUAUGGAAACAUUGAGGGUAUAGAAAGAAAAAAUUGUUGGAACAAAUGAGCCCAUCGGGGAAAGAAUUUUGUAUAAAAUGUGAUAAAGGUGGAGAAGUGUUGGUUUGUGCUGAUAGUUGUUGUCCUAUAGCAGUUCAUGUAAGGUGCAUGGGUUGUCCAGCCAGAUUUGAUGAUUUGGGAAAAUUCUAUUGCCCCUAUUGUCUGUAUAAGCAAUCAAUUGCAAGAUUUCAUCAAGCAAAGGUGUAUGUUUUGUCAAAAAAACAAGCUCUGGAUGAUUUCAUAGACCAGGAAAUGAUAGGCAAGGUCAGAGAGGUGCCAUUAAUGGUAAGCAAAUCAACACGUGAAAGAUCUGAUGAGCCAUUACCAGAAAAGAAGAGUGAUGUUCCAGAAAGCAAUUGUGAUCAACAAUGGGUGGUUGGGCAGAAAAUACAUGCAGGCCCAGCUGUUAAUUGUGGUAGUAAACCUAGUGUUCGUACAUCUUCUAAAGCAACAUCAACCAAUUUUAGAGCUUUAGAAGCUGGAAACGGCGUUCAGGUAAAUGAUCUACAAGAAGUUGGUGAACACCAACUAGAGAAAAGUGUUGAAGAUCACCACAAAGAUGGCCACUUAAGUAACUCUUCUGUUGCUGAAGAGGAAAUAUUGGGGAAUGAACUUGUUCUGGAAGAACCAAAAAGAAACUCCACUGAAAUUGCAGGAGAACAGAUGACAGAGGUUGAUCAAACUACUGCAAUUGUCGUAUACACAGAUCCUUCGUUGCAGCAGCACUUGCAUGGUAAAAGAAGAGCUGAAACUGCGGAUUUAACAUGUGGAGAAUCUAAGCGUGUUUCAACACAACGUGAGUGUGGUAAACGGGUUAAGAAAGUUAAAGAUGAACAUAUGCUGACUGACUCUCCAAGAAUGUUAACUAGGAAAUCAGCUUCCUUACUUGAGAAUGGUAAUGCAGCGGGCAUGUUUGUGCAAGUUAAACACCCUUCCAUGUUACCAGAUAUCCUUCCAAAUGGGAAACGUAGAAGAGUAUUAUGGCGUAGCGAAGAGGAAGAGAUGAUUGAGGAAGGAGUUCAAAAAUUCUCAUCCAAAGUAAACAAAAACACCCCAUGGAGAAAAAUUCUAGACUUUGGUCAUCAUGUGUUUGAUCAUUCUCGCACUCCAACUGAUCUCAAGGACAAAUGGAAACAAAUGUGCUCUAAAUAUGGUGGUCGAGUUUGACCAGGAGUUCUUUGCUAAACUAGUGAAAUGUUGGAAUUGCUUUGUGAUAUCCAGAUUCAAAUGUGUGACGAAGAGUACCUUUCUUUUUUCUCUUUUGUGGAUCGCUUCUUCAUCGAGCAAGCAGAAUGUCUCUCUUUCAAAAUUGGGCUAUUUGUACUGAUUACUUUGGUGUCAAGCUGCCAUCGCCUCUCCCAACGAAGGAAAAGAAGAACGCGAAUUCAACAGAUACAAAAGGUGGUGCAGCAACAGAUAAUGUAGGGGUUGGUGAAAGCAACAAUGGCAAGAACAAAGCACUCACUAUUACUCCAUCCUUUGAUGGCUUCUAUGAGACAACGGAACAGGAGAAGGAGAAGGAGAAGAAAAAGGCGGAGUUCAAAGAUACAAAAACUGCCAAGAGUUUGAGUAUUGGUGCAGCAAUAGCUAAUGUACUUGCUGGUGUUAGUAAGAAGAACAGUAGCAAGAACUGAGGACUCUCUUUUGAUGGCUUGUCUCCUUUUGAGAUGCUUGUUUCCGAUUGAUCAUUUUUUUUCUAGCUAAAUUUAAAGAAACAGUGUUCUUUUUUUUUUUUUCAUCUUCUUCUAUAUAUAGCAAGUAAUUUUCUCUUCAA